UAAGGAAAUAGACUUAAAGAGGUUGAGUAACCUGCCCAAGGCUACAGAACUACUUAAGGGGCAAGGCUGGGGUUUAGACUCCGCAGCAUCGCCAAGCCCCAGAGCCAGGAAAUCCAUAAACAGAGCACCCGACCAAGUCAACAGAGAGUGAGCAGUGUAGUGAGAUGCUGGGGUCCAUGAUGAUGACUGUGGUGGCUCUCAGAGAAGGCUGGAAAGUCCAGGGACACAGAGCUGGCAGCUUAUGAAGAAGGCAGAAGGCAUAGGGCAAGAGAGCAUGCAAGAUGGGGAAAAUCGAGCCGAACUCAUCCUUCUACACUGAGCUCGCUCCUGAGAGAACGAACCUACCCUUGUGCUAGUGAUGUUAAUCUGUGCGUGAACUAAUCACCCCCUAAAACCCCACCUCUUAUGGCUCUCACAGUGGCAACUAAAUGGAUCCUCCAACACCAAGUCACCUGGCCUGGUUGCCUUGUUUGCUUUUUCCCUUCCUCGCUGUCCCUGCCUGAGGAGGGAGGCAGUGGGUGACUUGUUGGCCAGACUUCCGCCGUCCUCACACCCACAGGAGCCCUGCACAUCGGCACAGACGGUGCGUCUUCCACCCCUGCUUGCGCCCUCUCCCGUGCCCUCUGGGGUCUGGUGACUCAGUCUUGCCGGGGGCAGGCAGGCCAGCCUGCUCUUCCAUCCCUGUACACAGCUAUGUGCCCUGCAAGCGUGCUAUGCUCUUUCCUGAGGCUUCCUCUGGCUUCCUCGAGGUCUAGCCCCGUGUAGGCUUCCUGGCCUGUCUCCUUGAGGACCAGCGUCUCCGGGAAGUUGUUCCCGAUUGGUCCUGUCCGUGAGAUCUCUCCCUGGUGGACAGCUCUUACAAGGUGUGAUAGAAAAAAACACGACGAAGGUUUAAAUAAAAGAAUUUAUAACAGUGAAA